rnacentral:rRNA from 1 species
UUUGUUGGUGGGGUAAUGGCCUACCAGACUUUGAUCAAUAGCUGAUUUGAGAGGAUGAUCAGCCACAUUGGGACUGAGACACGGCCCAAACUCCUACGGGAGGCAGCAGUAGGGAAUCUUGCACAAUGGGGGAAACCCUGAUGCAGCGAUGCCGCGUGAGUGAAGAAGGCCUUUGGGUUGUAAAGCUCUUUCGUCGGGGAAGAAAAUGACUGUACCCGAAUAAGAAGGUCCGGCUAACUUCGUGCCAGCAGCCGCGGUAAUACGAAGGGACCUAGCGUAGUUCGGAAUUACUGGGCUUAAAGAGUUCGUAGGUGGUUAAAAAAGUUGGUGGUGAAAUCCCAGAGCUUAACUCUGGAACUGCCAUCAAAACUUUUUAGCUAGAGUAUGAUAGAGGAAAGCAGAAUUUCUAGUGUAGAGGUGAAAUUCGUAGAUAUUAGAAAGAAUACCAAUUGCGAAGGCAGCUUUCUGGAUCAUUACUGACACUGAGGAACGAAAGCAUGGGUAGCGAAGAGGAUUAGAUACCCUCGUAGUCCAUGCCGUAAACGAUGUGUGUUCGACGUUGGAAAUUUAUUUUUCAGUGUCUCAGCGAAAGCAAUAAACACACCGCCUGGGGAGUACGACCGCAAGGUUAAAACUCAAAUGAAUUGACGGGGACCCGCACAAGUAGUGGAGCAUGUGGUUUAAUUCGAAGAUACGCGCAGAACCUUACCAACACUUGACAUGUUCGUCGCGACUUUAAGAGAUUAAAGUUUUCGGUUCGGCCGGACGAAACACAGGUGCUGCAUGGCUGUCGUCAGCUCGUGUCGUGAGAUGUUGGGUUAAGUCCCGCAACGAGCGCAACCCUCACUUUUAGUUGCCAUCAUUUAGUUGGGCACUCU